GAGUUAAAAAGGCUUAAAGAGAACCAAAAGGAAGAGCAAGCCAGCACAGUGUUAACUAAGAAGAGGAAGCUGACAGAAGAUAUUGCUAUUGUAAAUGACACCAGUGCUGUAUCGUUUAGUGUUGGUGACAGUGUGUCUGCCCUGUGGGUUGAUAAGAAUUGGGAAGAGUGGAAUGAUGCCAAGGUUGAAAAGAUCUACACAAAUGGUGAUUACCUUGUCAGGUACUGGGACAAUGUCAAACAGAGAGUGAAAGCUUCCAGAGUGAAAGUGCUCAACACUAAAGACUAAUAUGUUUUGUGCUAAAAGUUUCAUUGUGUAGUUAU